UCAUUACUGAGUGAGGGCCCUCUGGGUCCAACCUCCCACCCGUGUUUAUUGUACCUUGUUGCUUCGGUGCGCCCGCCUCACGGCCGCCGGGGGGCUUCUGCCCCCGGGUCCGCGCGCACCGGAGACACUAUUGAACUCUGUCUGAAGAUUGCAGUCUGAGCAUAAACUAAAUAAGUUAAAACUUUCAACAACGGAUCUCUUGGUUCCGGCAUCGAUGAAGAACGCAGCGAAAUGCGAUAACUAAUGUGAAUUGCAGAAUUCAGUGAAUCAUCGAGUCUUUGAACGCACAUUGCGCCCCCUGGUAUUCCGGGGGGCAUGCCUGUCCGAGCGUCAUUGCUGCCCUCAAGCACGGCUUGUGUGUUGGGCUCCGUCCCCCCGGGGACGGGUCCGAAAGGCAGCGGCGGCACCGAGUCCGGUCCUCGAGCGUAUGGGGCUUUGUCACCCGCUCUGUAGGCCCGGCCGGCGCCAGCCGACAACCAAUCAUCCUUUUUUCAGGUUGACCUCGGAUCAGGUAGGGAUACCCGCUGAACUUAAGCAUAUCAAUAA
rnacentral:rRNA from 1 species